GUUGUUAUGUAACAAGUUGUUAUUUUUUUGUCGACCGUCAUGUCGUUGAGUUUUGGAUUGAUCGCUGAUGUGCAGUUUGCUUUUGCUCACGAUCGUGUAUCCCCUGGUAAACCAAGGUUUUAUCAGAACUCAAGAAAAUUGUUGAGCGAUGCGGUGAAGCACUGGAACAACGAAAGGACCUCGUUUAUUGUUCAACUUGGYGAUGUUAUCGAUGGUGUUAAUGUCGAAAAUGGGAAGUCUCAUCAAGCUUUAGACGUAGUUCUGUCGGAAUUCGACAAAUCCGAUGUAGAAGUGAUUCAUGUUCUUGGUAAUCACGAACUGAUAAAUUUUAGCCGGAGAAAGUUGGCGCUUUCACCAUUAUGUCGAAAACAAUAUGAACCCAAGAGGAAACCCAAGGAAAAGUGCGCUCAUAUUGUUCAAGACUUCACCAGCGAGACGMCGGUGUUUUAUUUCACCUUCAAGAUAAAAGAAUCCCCWGGAUUUCGCUUUGUGGUUCUUGAUACAUUUGAUGAAAGUCUUCUUGGAAGAAGCAAGUCCAGCCUGGAGUAUCAAAACGCGCUUAACAUCAUUCGAAAACACAAUAACAACGAAGACAYUCGCUCUUUUGAUGGACUCAAGGCAGCUGUCGAUCAACGUUUCACAAGUGAUAGUGGCGGUUUGGGAAAACAGCAACUGAAAUGGCUGGAUAAAGUUCUAACAGAGGCUGAUCUUCGUGACGAAAAGGUAGUGCUAUUUAGUCACUCUACGCUACAUCCUAAAUGUGCCCUCGAAAACGGAGAUGUUCCGUGGAAUUGCGAAGAAAUACUGGAACUACUAUCAUGUCAUCCAAGUGUUAAGGUGUGGUGGUAAAUUUCGAUAUAACGGGUUAACUUCUGUGGUAAAUUAAACUUUACGAAGAGAUGAUCUUUCAUGGUUAGCUUCAAUAGAUGGAACAAUGUAUGGACAUAAUAUACAUUCUUGACUGUUUUAUAAUAUAUGAUAUGACUGUUUCUUCCAUUCAAGUCACAAACAAAACCACGUUUCAUGUAUAUAUAAACAGGUCACUAUAUGAUGUACACUGUAUGAUGAAGGCUAAAAUUGYAUUCUUCAAGUGUCUUUUGCUCUGCAUAACAAUAAACAAGAACAACCCAGUCCAGAGCUAAAGUUUCCGCUCAAUCUUGGUUAUUUGGCAAUUGAAAGCAAAAAGGAAUAAUUGUAAUUCAAGCACAAAGUCAUGUAUGAAAAGUUUGGAAUAUUAMAACUAACAACAAAGGUCAAUUGUCUCACAAAAGGACCAGACAAACUGGUAUUAUUCUUGUUUAGAACUUGUUUACAUAAUCUUGCUAUUUUGUACUCUGUAAACCUUGUUUCUUUCUUAUGGUAUUACAAGUAUUACAUAAGCAUGGUUUUUKCAAAAUAAAAUUUUCUAUUAUA